rnacentral:lncRNA from 1 species
AGAGCAACAUUCAGCUGGAGGACUUGGAUGCUUGAUUGCAAAAACUACAGGUAGAAACACGCAAACCCAGACCCCAGCUGUGACCUCCGUUUCAAAGGUUCUAUGUUUGUAUGUAAACUGUUGAAUAGGAUACGUGAAAACUUUUGCUUUGUUAAUGAGGUUAAAACAGUUUGUGGGGGGGGGGGGCUGUGGAUUUUGUGAAAUAUGAGCUGUGACCUCCGUUUCAAAGGUUCUAUGUUUGUAUGUAAACUGUUGAAUAGGAUACGUGAAAACUUUUGCUUUGUUAAUGAGGUUAAACCAGUGGGGGGAAGGAGGAAACUGGAAAUUGUGCAAUAUGAACUUGGUUGUUCAGUAAUUGUUGUAUCUUUGUAUGUUGUGAUUAAUUCGAUGUGCCAACCCUACUGAUAGCAUUUAAUUGUUGCUGUUUUCGCUUGAUGCUUCCAUAGUUAUAUUAGCUAAACUUAAAUGUAUCAGCUGAUGCCUUGUUUGCUCUGAAAAUCGAUCAGUUGCUGCAAUUAGUGCAAGGUUGCCUGAAUAGGAAUGGUAGUUGCUUGCUCUGGCUAGUU